GGAGUCGUAGUUUGAGAGAUAUUCCAAAAAGUCAGGCGACCGCAUCAGCAGUAAGCAUGAAGAAAUAAAUAGAAAGGAAUAUAGAAACGUUAGGGAUUAUAUGACCUUAUUUGGUAUGAGUAAAAGGGUAAAGGGAGAACUAUGGAUGAAUCGAAGACCUUUAAGAGCUUUAUGGUGCGAGUAUGGGAUUUAGGAGAAAUUGAACUAUGGCGACACCAUCUCGCUUCUUCUUGCCUCCCUCUCGAUGUCUCCCGAUCUCUAUAUGUGUACGUGUGAUGAAUCGUAGGAAACUUACCUGGUAGCUCCACCGCCAUCACAGUGCCACCUAUAUGGUUGUUGAUUAUUCAGUGACGAAGAAAAAUGGAGAGGCGAUGGAGACGAAGAGGGAAAAUGGAAUGGAACCAUCCAAAAACAAAGAGUGGAAGUACUGUAGGGUGGGUUAAUCGAAAUCACAUAAAUUUUCUCCAAUUUUUUCACUACCAGCGACGGGUGACCAUCCUUCGGGGUGAUGUUUCCUUGGAGAGAUCGGAGAGAAAUGGAUCGAGGUAGGGCUUUUGUGUGGAAGGAAGAAAGAGAUGAAGCUGUAGAAGGAAGAACGUGGAANUACUGUAGGGUGGGUUAAUCGAAAUCACAUAAAUUUUCUCCAAUUUUUUCACUACCAGCGACGGGUGACCAUCCUUCGGGGUGAUGUUUCCUUGGAGAGAUCGGAGAGAAAUGGAUCGAGGUAGGGCUUUUGUGUGGAAGGAAGAAAGAGAUGAAGCUGUAGAAGGAAGAACGUGGAAGGGCGUAAGAAUGAAAGCAGUGGAGAGCAUUAAAGGGGACGAUACUUGUAGGCAUUUUAUUGGAGAAGAAAACGGUGGAGAAGAAGAGUAGCACACGUAUUAUCCAGCAAACACUAUCUCGAAGCAGGCCAAAGAAAAUUAGACGCAGCAAAUAAAAAUUGGAAAAAAAAUUAAAA
rnacentral:lncRNA from 1 species